CCCAGACUCCUACGGGAGGCAGCAGUGGGGGAUAUUGCACAAUGGGGGAAACCCUGAUGCAGCGACGCCGCGUGAGUGAAGAAGUAUUUCGGUAUGUAAAGCUCUAUCAGCAGGGAAGAAAAAAGACGGUACCUGACUAAGAAGCCCCGGCUAACUACGUGCCAGCAGCCGCGGUAAUACGUAGGGGGCAAGCGUUAUCCGGAUUUACUGGGUGUAAAGGGAGCGUAGACGGCAAUACAAGUCGGAAGUGAAAUACCUGGGCUCAACCUGGGAACUGCUUUGGAAACUGUAUGGCUGGAGUGCUGGAGAGGUAAGCGGAAUUCCUAGUGUAGCGGUGAAAUGCGUAGAUAUUAGGAGGAACACCAGUGGCGAAGGCGGCUUACUGGACAGUAACUGACGUUGAGGCUCGAAAGCGUGGGGAGCAAACAGGAUUAGAUACCCGCGUAGC
rnacentral:rRNA from 1 species